rnacentral:SRP_RNA from 1 species
ACUGAACAUGGCAGCUCACGCCUAUAAUCUCUUUUACUGGGGAGUCUAAGGAUAGGGGAUCUCUUGAGCUCAGGAGUUUUGAGCUGCAGUGGGCUAAGCCUACGUACUGGGUCUCUAUACUAAUUCAGACAUCAAUCUAGCAAGUAACCCAGGAGUAGGGGACCACCAGAUUGCCCAAGGACAGUCGAAAGGGCCACAUGUCAGAAAUGAACAGGUCAAAAUAUCCAUGGUAACAAGCAGUGGGAUCUGCCCCUGAAUAGGCACUACACUUCCAACCUGGGUGAUAUAGGGAAAAUGAGUCUUUA